rnacentral:misc_RNA from 1 species
UUAACUAUUAAUAUAGUACUCGGACGACAUUUUAACAAGAGUUUGGUUUCCUCUGUCGGGCGCGGGCCAGCGCGGAGGCCGGCGGUCCCGAGGGACGGGCCCGACAAAGCAACAAAGGUAUGAUAAACAAAGGGUGGGAGAUCUACCCCGAAGGGCAAGUUCUCAUUAAUGAUCCCUCCGCAGGUUCACCUACGGAGA